AGAGUUUGAUCAUGGCUCAGAAUCAACGCUGGCGGCGUGCCUAACACAUGCAAGUUGAACGAGAAAGUGGUAGCAAUACCAUGAGUAAAGUGGCGCACGGGUGAGUAACACGUGACUAACCUACCCUGGAGUGGGGGAUAACUGAGGGAAACCUUAGCUAAUACCGCAUAACACCUACGGGUCAAAGGAGUAAUUCGCUUUGGGAGGGGGUCGCGGCCGAUUAGUUAGUUGGCGGGGUAAUGGCCCACCAAGACAGUGAUCGGUAUCCGGCCUGAGAGGGCGCACGGACACACUGGAACUGAAACACGGUCCAGACUCCUACGGGAGGCAGCAGUGGGGAAUUUUGCGCAGUGGGGGAAACCCUGACGCAGCAACGCCGCGUGGAGGAUGGAGUCCUUCGGGACGUAAACUCCUUUCGAUCGGGACGAUAAUGACGGUACCGGAAGAAGAAGCCCCGGCUAACUUCGUGCCAGCAGCCGCGGUAAUACGAGGGGGGCAAGCGUUGUUCGGAAUUAUUGGGCGUAAAGGGUGCGUAGGCGGUUUGGUAAGUCUUGUGUGAAAUCUAUGGGCUCAACUCAUAGACUGCGCGAGAAACUGCCGGGCUUGAGUGUGGGAGAGGUGAGUGGAAUUCCCGGU
rnacentral:rRNA from 1 species